AACUCUGACUCACUUAAAUCCAGUUCACAAAGGAGUCAAGACAUCAUUCUUCAAUCUCAUUGGGGAAAAAUAAAAGAGAAACAACAUCAAGAACAUAUUGUGGUCAAGGAAAGAUCUCAUCAAUUGGAGGAGAAGAAGCGUAUAGGAAUGGAGACAUAACAAGUACAAGAAGAUCACUGGGAAAGAGGUGGAGAAGUAGCUGUAUCAAAGACAAGGAUUGUGAAGCUGAAAAAAUCCUGGAGAUGACAAAAGAGACCUGAGGAAAUUCCUGGAAGAAUAAGAAAUUCAGAGACUGGCAAUAGGUUCUAAACAAGGAACUGAUCAGGAAAUUCAGAAUGCUGAAGUGUUUUGCCAUUUCCUU